UACCAGCACCCCGAGUGGUCGGGACGUUUAUUGGGCCUAAAGCAUCCGUAGCCGGUUCUACAAGUCUUCCGUUAAAUCCACCUGCUUAACAGAUGGGCUGCGGAAGAUACUAUGGAGCUAGGAGGCGGGAGAGGCAAGCGGUACUCGAUGGGUAGGGGUAAAAUCCGUUGAUCCAUUGAAGACCACCAGUGGCGAAGGCGGCUUGCCAGAAUGCGCUCGACGGUGAGGGAUGAAAGCUGGGGGAGCAAACCGG
rnacentral:rRNA from 1 species